AGCGAACGCUGGCGGCAGGCCUAACACAUGCAAGUCGAACGAUCCUUCGGGAUAGUGGCGGACGGGUGAGUAACACGUGGGAACGUGCCCUUUGGUUCGGAACAACUCAGGGAAACUUGAGCUAAUACCGAAUGUGCCCUUCGGGGGAAAGAUUUAUCGCCAUUGGAGCGGCCCGCGUCUGAUUAGCUAGUUGGUGAGGUAAAGGCUCACCAAGGCUACGAUCAGUAGCUGGUCUGAGAGGAUGAUCAGCCACAUUGGGACUGAGACACGGCCGAAACUCCUACGGGAGGCAGCAGUGGGGAAUCUUGCGCAAUGGGCGAAGGCCUGACGCAGCCAUGCCGCGUGAAUGAUGAAGGUCUUAGGAUUGUAAAAUUCUUUCACCGGGGACGAUAAUGACGGUACCCGGAGAAGAAGCCCCGGCUAACUUCGUGCCAGCAGCCGCCGUAAAAC
rnacentral:rRNA from 1 species